UAAUAAGGGUGUCCCGUAAAA
rnacentral:piRNA from 1 species